UCCUGGUUAACCCAGGCAGUCUCACUAGAGUACCCACCUUAAAUGUUGGCAACUAGUGAUAAGGGUUGCGCUCGUUGCGGGACUUAACCCAACACCUCACGGCACGAGCUGACGACAGCCAUGCAGCACCUGUGCAGCGGCCCCGAAGGGAAUUAGCAUCUCUGCUAACGUCCGCUGCAUGUCAAGCCUGGGUAAGGUUCUUCGCGUUGCAUCGAAUUAAACCACAUGCUCCACUGCUUGUGCGGGUCCCCGUCAAUUCUUUUGAGUUUCACCCUUGCGAGCGUACUCCCCAGGCGGCAUACUUAUCGCGUUAGCUUCGACACAGUCGGGGUUGAGUCCGACUACAUCAAGUAUGCAUCGUUUACAGCGAGGACUAC
rnacentral:misc_RNA from 1 species